UACAGAGGUCUCAAGCGUUGUUCGGAUUCAUUGGGCGUAAAGGGUGCGUAGGCGGCGCGGUAAGUCGGGUGUGAAAUCUCGGAGCUUAACUCCGAAACUGCAUUCGAUACUGCCGUGCUUGAGGACUGGAGAGGAGACUGGAAUUUACGGUGUAGCGGUGAAAUGCGUAGAUAUCAGGAGGAACACCGAUGGCGAAGGCAGGUCUCUGGGCCACUACUGACGCUGAGAAGCGAAAGCGUGGGGAGCGAACAGG
rnacentral:rRNA from 1 species